CAGAAACUGUUUCUGAAGGAGGAAACUUUAAAAAAAACUAAACCGGCGUGACUUUAGACGCCAAAAACUUGUUGAUAUAAAAACGUGGCAAGAACGUAGAGACUAAGAUGGCAGGGUUGACCGUUUCCAGAUUGAUGGAUAGUCAAGAAUGGUUGAUCUUCAUGAAGAUCAUCAAACUAUGUUGGACCUUAAGGACCAGAGCCCAGUAAACUACGCCUCAGUGGCUGCUACGUUACCCGACCCAACAGGACAUGGUCACAGAUCCAGCUCUAAG